rnacentral:sRNA from 1 species
GUUGCUACUAAUAAGCGCCUUCUUUUAGGACUUGAAUCUUUGCUUCUCCAGCAAUUGAGGGAAUGUUGCCAGCGACAAAUCAUUCCAUAAAAUGCCUCGUCAUCCAGUAUCGGCCUCCGUCUUUCCGACCUGGCCUGCCCCCCGUUAUAAUGAGUGACAGUGAAGAAGACGAUGUUGAAGAACACAGAGAUCAUCCUGCCUUUCAGCCUGCCGGUGAACAAACCAAUGAGGCAAGGCCUGGGUGCAAGAUACGAAUCAGACAGAUCAAAUGAUUAGAUGAGAAGCGUCAUGCAAGAUGGUCAAGCAAACACGAUGGAACUCGCGGAGUUCCAGACUAAAACGGACAAGGAGAUAAAGGAGAAGCAGUUGGUUGUGGAGAGAGAGAAGACCGCUUUAGAGAGGGAGAAGUUUAAAGCUUGAGUGCGCAGAAAAAGAGGAGGAUCGGGCAUCCAGGAAGCGUCAGCGUGAAUGGGAAAAGAAAGAUCAGAAGAGAAUGCGAACAGAGGAAGUUUAUGGGAUUCUGAUUUUCCUUAAUUUUUUUGACAAUCUAUAAGGAAUUAUUGAAUGCGUACCACAUUAAUGGUGGAGAAGAUUUGGACCUGGCGUGGUCCUGUAAGGUAGAUAACGGUACAGCAGAUCAAAAGGUCGCGUAUCUGGUUGGACGACCCCAUCCCCCAAUAGUUGAGAAGUAGAGGCCGCAAGACUUAUGAUGUAAAAGUCAGAAAAGAGGUAUUGCAGGAUCGCUAGCCGGUGAACUAUCAUGGACUGAAUUUUGCGAUACUCGAGCUCUAGCCAGAGAGGAGUCCGCCGUAACGGGAUAUUUUUUGUCCACAAUUUGGAAAUUGAAGUAUAGUCGACAAAUGGGAAACUUCUUGGAAAUGUGGUU